CUAUGAAGGUAGCAUGGUAAGGUGCACAGAAAUUGAAUUUUAUGGGUCGACAUGUCUGCUCCCUCUGAUGCCUCUAUUGGAGGCUUUGAUUUGGGGGCCUGGUUCUGACCCACAUUU